GAUGAACGCUGGCGGCGUGCCUAAUACAUGCAAGUCGAGCGAACGGACGAGAAGCUUGCUUCUCUGAUGUUAGCGGCGGACGGGUGAGUAACGCGUGGAUAACCUACCUAUAAGACUGGGAUAACUUCGGGAAACCGGAGCUAAUACCGGAUAAUAUUUUGAACCGCAUGGUUCAAAAGUGAAAGACGGUCUUGCUGUCACUUAUAGAUGGAUCCGCGCUGCAUUAGCUAGUUGGUAAGGUACCGGCUUACCAAGGCAACGAUGCAUAGCCGACCUGAGAGGGUGAUCGGCCACACUGGAACUGAGACACGGUCCAGACUCCUACGGGAGGCAGCAGUAGGGAAUCUUCCGCAAUGGGCGAAAGCCUGACGGAGCAACGCCGCGUGAGUGAUGAAGGUCUUCGGAUCGUAAAACUCUGUUAUUAGGGAAGAACAUAUGUGUAAGUAACUGUGCACAUCUUGACGGUACCUAAUCAGAAAGCCACGGCUAACUACGUG
rnacentral:rRNA from 1 species